GGCACUAUAGCCAAAUGUUAAGGCGAUAGAUUAGAAAUCUAUUACUCUCUGAGUGCACAGGCUCAAACCCUGCUCCUGUCG